rnacentral:misc_RNA from 1 species
GGUGAUCUUACAAGCAAAACUGAAGCAGAUGGCUGCCACAAUGUAGGAAGAUGUGUGACCAUGUAAUAUGUAAGGCAUUGAUUGGUUAGUUAAACACAAGCCUUGAAGAAUUUCAGAAUACCAAAAGUUUUAUAGGUAGAGAUAUGCGGGUUGAAAUAAGAGGGUCGGGUUCAGGUCGUAUUUGAGGUGUUGGUAAAGCUGUAAACUUCUUCCAAGUACUCAG